rnacentral:lncRNA from 1 species
AUGUCUGUACCCAGGCUGGGCUGCUCCCAAUGCCACCCUCCUAGGAGCCCAUCCAACCUGCUGAGUCGUGGAGAGCCAAACAUGUUAGGUCCCUUACAUGACUCAAGGAGAGAGAAAUUGCUUCCUACUUCUGAUAAACUCAUGAGGAUUGAGUCACCAAAGACAAAGUCUUUGAUAAAGUGUUUGACAAGAGUAGGGGCCAACUCUGCACCCGGCCCCCUGGGUUUCACCCCAGCUCUGUCCUUUACUAGCUGUGUAGCCUUGGAUGACUUGUUUCUCUCUUCCUGCCUCAGCUUCCCUCUCUGUGAGCCUCAACCUGGUAAGUUAAUAAGAAGCAGGACAGAAAAUCUUCACCGGACAAGAAGAAAAUCCAAUCAAAUAGCCACAGUUCAGUAAGGUGACAGUGGUAUGCAUCCCUGGACCGGGUGGAGGGAACUGUUAAUGCCUCUCACAGAGCAACACUGGGUUAGUUAAAUAGCUCCUUUCUUUAGGGAAGAGUGAAGCUUUAUUCUCAUAUUUGAACAUCAAAAAUGGUUGAAAUUGAAUCUCUCUUUGUGUUGCACACAUUAUAAAUAUUAUUUGGGGCAUAGGGGAAUGUGAAUCGUCUUACUAAAAUAAAUGCUUUUGAGUAUAGGAAUGGCUUAUUCUUAUUCUCGCUCCCUCUCUUUCUCCCCCCCCUCCCCUCCCCCC